AUACGGGGGGAGCAAGCGUUGUCCGGAAUCAUUGGGCGUAAAGGGUGCGUAGGCGGGCUAUUAAGUCUGAUGUGAAAGCCCACGGCUUAACCGUGGAGAGUCAUUGGAUACUGAUAGUCUUGAAUCACAGAGGGGCUAGUGGAAUUCCAGGUGUAGCGGUGAAAUGCGUAGAUAUCUGGAGGAACAUCGGUGGCGAAGGCGACUGGCUGGCUGUUGAUUGACGCUGAGGCACGAAAGCGUGGGUAGCAAACAGGAUUAGAAACCCCAGUAGUCC
rnacentral:rRNA from 1 species